CAGCAGCCGCGGGAACACGUAGGGGGCAAGCGUUGUCCGGAAUCAUUGGGCGUAAAGAGCGUGUAGGUGGCUCGGUAAGUCCGCUGUGAAAGUCCAGGGCUCAACCCUGGAAUGCCGGUGGAAACUGUCGAGCUAGAGUCCGGAAGAGGCGAGUGGAAUUCCUGGUGUAGCGGUGAAAUGCGCAGAUAUCAGGAGGAACACCAAUGGCGAAGGCAGCUCGCUGGGACGGUACUGACACUGAGACGCGAAAGCGUGGGGAGCAAACAGGAUUAGAUACCCCCGUAGUCCCUGUCUCUUAUAC
rnacentral:rRNA from 1 species